CAAAGAGAUUCAAAACUUUCGUCACUGCUGCUGUUUUCCCAGAAGCCCUUUAAAUCCACCUGGAUUUGAUGACAUUAAGUCACUGGGGAAAGCAUUAUGGAUGGAACUAGAUGUCCACUUAUUAUGAGCACUGAAAUAUCAAAGAAUUUGUAUGCAGAUCUCACAAAACUCUUUCUGGGGUCAAAAGGAUUUGCUCAUAUAUAUUAAACUUACUGAGAAAGUAGUGCCCUUGUUUUAUUUGGAUGAAAGGAAGAAGAUGGGGGAAGACCCAAGAGGCCCACUUGCCCA